UAAUAAUAAUUAUAAUAAUAAUAAUAAUAAAUCAGAUUUAUGAUAAAUGAGAGCGUUAAAUUACGAAAGAUUUAAUGUGCUUCCCAAGUGAAAAAACCACAACUAUUCUAAGAAUCGGAAACGAGUUACAGGUUCCUGGAAUGAUAAAGCUGACCUUGACUGGAAUUGAAAUCACUGCGCAGAAAACUGAAGCACUGUUCCGAUCAUGUCACGAGCUACUUGAAAAAGGCUGUGCAUCAACUUAGUUUUUGUACUCAGCUGUCCAAGUUGGAGGAGAAUCAUUGCCCAAUUUGAGUGUAGUCACCACCCCAAACCAGAUGCAAACAGAAUAUUUCAACCCCGCUCAGAAGGCCCUGCCCUAUUUAACAUUGUCCCGAGGGAGAUC